GACGGAGGAUGCAAGUGUUAUCCGGAAUCACUGGGCGUAAAGCGUCUGUAGGUGGUUUAAUAAGUCAACUGUUAAAUCUUGAGGCUCAACCUCAAAAUCGCAGUCGAAACUAUUAGGCUAGAGUAUAGUAGGGGUAAAGGGAAUUUCCAGUGGAGCGGUGAAAUGACGUAGAGAUUGGAAAGAACACCGAUGGCGAAGGCACUUUACUGGGCCGACACUGACACUGAGAGACGAAAGCUAGGGGAGCGAAUGGG
rnacentral:rRNA from 1 species